CCUACGGGUGGCUGCAGUGAGGAAUAUUUGUCAAUGGCCGGAAGGCUGAACCAGCCAAGCCGCGUGAAGGACGAAGGUGCCAAGCAUUGUAAACUUCUUUUGUCAAGGGACAAAAUCAGGCUCGAGAGCCUGACCGAGGGGACUUGAAGAAAAAGCAUCGGCCAACUCCGUGCCAGCAGCCGCGGUAAUACGGAGGAUGCGAGCGUUAUCCGGAUUUAUGGGGUUUAAAGGGUGCGUAGGCGGGAUGUUAAGUCAGCGGUAAAAGCCCGGGGCUAAACCCCGGCGAGCCGUUGAAACUGGCUGUCUAGAGAUGUGGAGAGGUAUGCGGAAUGCGCGGUGUAGCGGUGAAAUGCUUAGAUAUUGCGCAGAACACCGAUGGCGAAGGCAGCAUACCGGCGGCGAUCUGACGCUGAGGCACGAAAGCGUGGGUAUCGAACAGGAUUAGAUACCCCAGUAGUC
rnacentral:rRNA from 1 species